CACGUAGGGUGCGAGCGUUGUCCGGAAUUAUUGGGCGUAAAGAGCUCGUAGGCGGUGUGUCGCGUCGGCCGUGAAAACCUGCAGCUUAACUGUGGGCUUGCGGUCGAUACGGGCAUCACUGGAGUUCGGCAGGGGAGACUGGAAUUCCUGGUGUAGCGGUGAAAUGCGCAGAUAUCAGGAGGAACACCGGUGGCGAAGGCGGGUCUCUGGACAGUUCCUGACGGCUGAGGCAACGGAAGGUCAGGGGAGCAAACGGG
rnacentral:rRNA from 1 species